rnacentral:rRNA from 1 species
AUCCUGGCUCAGGAUGAACGCUAGCGGCAGGCCUAACACAUGCAAGUCGAGGGGUAGAGUUCUUCGGAACUUGAGACCGGCGCACGGGUGCGUAACGCGUAUGCAAUCUACCUUAUACAGGGGAAUAGCCCAGAGAAAUUUGGAUUAAUGCCCCAUAGUGUUAUCGAAUCGCAUGGUUUGAUAACUAAAGUUCCAACGGUAUAAGAUGAGCAUGCGUCCCAUUAGCUAGAUGGUAAGGUAACGGCUUACCAUGGCGACGAUGGGUAGGGGGUCCUGAGAGGGAGAUCCCCCACACUGGUACUGAGACACGGACCAGACUCCUACGGGAGGCAGCAGUGAGGAAUAUUGGACAAUGGGCGCAAGCCUGAUCCAGCCAUGCCGCGUGCAGGAUGACGGUCCUAUGGAUUGUAAACUGCUUUUGUACAGGAAGAAACACUCCCUCGUGAGGGAGCUUGACGGUACUGUAAGAAUAAGGAUCGGCUAACUCCGUG